UAAGGACACUUUUUAAUGGAAACCCGUUUCAUGAUGAGCCGGCAUGUCUUUGGGGUGAUCCGGACUCCGCACAUAAUGUUACAGCCAUGGGCUACGGGAACACUCAAUUUGCUGGCGUAUCCUCCCCCUUAUUGAUGAAA